rnacentral:rRNA from 1 species
UACGUAGGGUGCGAGCGUUGUCCGGAAUUAUAGGGCGUAAAGAGCUCGUAGGCGGUUUGUUGCGUCGACUGUGAAAACCUGGGGCUUAACUCUGGGCUUGCAGUCGAUACGGGCAGACUUGAGUUCGGUAGGGGAGACUGGAAUUCCUGGUGUAGCGGUGAAAUGCGUAGAGAUGUGGAGGAACACCGAUGGCGAAGGCAGCCCCCUGGGCUAACACUGACGCUCAUGCACGAAAGCGUGGGGAGCAAACAGG